rnacentral:rRNA from 1 species
AGAGUUUGAUCCUGGCUCAGGAUGAACGCUAGCUACAGGCUUAACACAUGCAAGUCGAGGGGAAACGAUAUUGGAAGCUUGCUUCCGAUAGGCGUCGACCGGCGCACGGGUGAGUAACGCGUAUCCAACCUGCCCACCACUUGGGGAUAACCUUGCGAAAGUAAGACUAAUACCCAAUGAUAUCUCUAGAAGACAUCUGAAAGAGAUUAAAGAUUUAUCGGUGAUGGAUGGGGAUGCGUCUGAUUAGCUUGUUGGCGGGGUAACGGCCCACCAAGGCAACGAUCAGUAGGGGUUCUGAGAGGAAGGUCCCCCACAUUGGAACUGAGACACGGUCCAAACUCCUACGGGAGGCAGCAGUGAGGAAUAUUGGUCAAUGGACGAGAGUCUGAACCAGCCAAGUAGCGUGCAGGAAGACGGCCCUAUGGGUUGUAAACUGCUUUUAUAAGGGAAUAAAGUGAGAGUCGUGACUCCUUUUGCAUGUACCUUAUGAAUAAGGACCGGCUAAUUCCGUGCCAGCAGCCGCGGUAAUACGGAAGGUCCGGGCGUUAUCCGGAUUUAUUGGGUUUAAAGGGAGCGUAGGCCGGAGAUUAAGCGUGUUGUGAAAUGUAGACGCUCAACGUCUGCACUGCAGCGCGAACUGGUUUCCUUGAGUACGCACAAAGUGGGCGGAAUUCGUGGUGUAGCGGUGAAAUGCUUAGAUAUCACGAAGAACUCCGAUUGCGAAGGCAGCUCACUGGAGCGCAACUGACGCUGAAGCUCGAAAGUGCGGGUAUCGAACAGGAUUAGAUACCCUGGUAGUCCGCACGGUAAACGAUGGAUGCCCGCUGUUGGUCUGAAUAGGUCAGCGGCCAAGCGAAAGCAUUAAGCAUCCCACCUGGGGAGUACGCCGGCAACGGUGAAACUCAAAGGAAUAGACGGGGGCCCGCACAAGCGGUGGAUUAUGUGGUUUAAUUCGAAGCAACGCGAAGAACCUUACCAGGGCUUGACAUCCUACUAACGAAGUAGAGAUACAUUAGGUGCCCUUCGGGGAAAGUAGAGACAGGUGGUGCAUGGUUGUCGUCAGCUCGUGUCGUGAGAUGUUGGGUUAAGUCCCGCAACGAGCGCAACCCCUAUUGUUAGUUGCUACGCAAGAGCACUCUAGCGAGACUGCCGUUGACAAAACGGAGGAAGGUGGGGACGACGUCAAAUCAUCAUGCCCCUUAUGUCCUGGGCUACACACGUAAUACAAUGGCGGUCAACAGAGGGAGGCAAAGCCGCGAGGCAGAGCAAACCCCCAAAAGCCGUCCCAGUUCGGAUCGCAGGCUGCAACCCGCCUGCGUGAAGUCGGAAUCGCUAGUAAUCGCGGAUCAGCAUGCCGCGGUGAAUACGUUCCCGGGCCUUGUACACACCGCCCGUCACACCAUGAGAGUCGGGAACACCCGAAGUCCGUAGCCUAACCGCAAGGAGGGCGCGGCCGAAGGUGGGUUCGAUAAUUGGGGUGAAGUCGUAACAAGGUA